AGUGAACGCUGGCGGCGUGCCUAAUACAUGCAAGUCGAACGGAGUGGCGCACGGGUGAGUCAUGUAUAGCUAAUCUGCCCUACACUAGAGGACAAAAGUUGGAAACGAAUGCUAAUACUCUAUAGUGUAGGAUGAGGCUAUAUUGUAUCAGCUAGUUGGUGAGGUAAUGGCUCACCAAGGCUAUGACGCAUAUCUGGUCUGCGAGGAUGAUCAGUCAGACGGGGACUGAGACACGGUCCAGACUCCUACGGGUGGCAGCAGUAUGUAAUAUUGCUCCAUGGGGGAAACCCUGAAGCAGCAACGCCGCGUGGAGGAUGAUACUUUUCGGAGCGUAAACUCCUUUUGUUAGGGAAGCGGUACCUAACGAAUACGCUCCGGCUAACUCCGUGCCAGCAGCCGCGGUAAUAC
rnacentral:rRNA from 1 species